rnacentral:tRNA from 1 species
AUUUGUAUAGUUUAAUAAAACACCACAUUUUCAAUGUGAAAUUAGGGUUACCUUACAAAUA